GUCGUACCAGGUUUCCGUAGGUGACCUGCGGAAGGAUCAUUAUUGAAUACUGAAUCGGUUCUGAUGCUGGCUCUUCACCGGGCAUGUGCUCGUUCCGUUCAUAUUUACCUUCUCUUGUGCACAUUUUGUAGUCCUUUGAAAGAAGUGAACUCUGCGCUGCCGUGAUUGAUUUUGCGGUGGUUGCGGUUUGGGGGAUUGGGUGUAACAGCCCUUCCCCUGUUCUCUAUGCGCGUCGCUGUGAUUGAUUUUGCGGUGGCUGCGGUCUGGGGGACUGAGUUGUAAUAAACUCUUUCCCCUGUCUUUGCUUUUUUCAAGGCUAUGUUUUCAUAUACCCUAUCAAUGUUACAGAAUGUCUUUAAAGAUUGUGCUUGUCGCAGUCAUUAAACCUAUACAACUUUCAGCAACGGAUCUCUUGGCUCUCCCAUCGAUGAAGAACGCAGCGAAAUGCGAUAAGUAAUGUGAAUUGCAGAAUUCAGUGAAUCAUCGAAUCUUUGAACGCACCUUGCGCCCUUUGGUAUUCCGAAGGGCAUGCCUGUUUGAGUGUCAUUAAAUUAUCAACCUUGUUCGCUUUCACGAGCUUGAGCGAGGCUUGGAUGUGAGGGCUUGCUGGCUUCCUUCAGUGGAUGGUCUGCUCCCUUUAAUAGCAUUAGUGGGAUCUCUUGUGGACCGUCACUCGGUGUGAUAAUUAUCUAUGCCGCUUGACUUUGAAGCAAAAUUAUGGGAACCUGCUUAUAACCGUCUCGCAAGGGACAAUUUAAUUGACUAUUUGACCUCAAAUCAGGUAGGACUACCCGCUGAACUUAAGCAUAUCAAUAAGCGGAGGAAAAGAAACUAACAAGGAUUCCCCUAGUAACUGCGAGUGAAGCGGGAAAAGCUCAAAUUUAAAAUCUGGCGGUACCCUGAGGCCGUC
rnacentral:rRNA from 1 species